rnacentral:ncRNA from 1 species
GAACGUCGUGAGACAGUUCGGUCCCUAUCUGCCGUGGGCGUUGGAAGAUUGAGAGGGGUUGCUCCUAGUACGAGAGGACCGGAGUGAACGCACCACUGGUGUUCGGGUUGUCAUGCCAAUGGCAUUGCCCGGUAGCUAAGUGCGGAAAAGAUAAGCGCUGAAAGCAUCUAAGCGCGAAACUUGCCUCAAGAUGAGUCUUCCCUGGACCUUUAAGGUCCCUGAAGGAACGUUUAAGACUAAGACGUUGAUAGGCUGGGUGUGUAAGUGCAGCGAUGCAUUGAGCUAACCAGUACUAAUGAUCCGUGAGGCUUAACCUU